rnacentral:rRNA from 1 species
GUACGUAGGGUGCAAGCGUUGUCCGGAUUAUUGGGCGUAAAGAGCUCGUAGGCGGUUGUCGCGUCGGCUGUGAAAACCCGCAGCUCAACUGUGGGCUUGCAGCCGAUACGGGCGGGCUGGAGUUCGGUAGGGGAGACUGGAAUUCCUGGUGUAGCGGUGAAAUGCGCAGAUAUCAGGAGGAACACCAAUGGCGAAGGCAGCUCGCUGGAACGGUACUGACGCUGAGGCGCGAAAGCGUGGGGAGCAAACAGG